GCUCUCAUUUUGGCCACUCCCUCCAACGGCAAGACCUAGUACGAUAUACCUGGAUCUAAAAACAAUUUCGUUCUCCCUCACCAGUCACCACGCAACACCCCGUCAUUCCCUUCACUGCGCCAACCGUGGUUCUCAGCAGCAUCACUAUCCGCUCUUCCCCCUCAGCACGUCGUGAAUCCACGAAUCCGAACCUUGGUUGCCAUCGUCGUUUGUCGUUGCAGGUUCACACGCAGGAGACGAGGCUCUCGUUGUGGGUUCCCGUGAUAACUGUCACUGGUUAGCGUGAACAUCCAUGGUUUCUUGUACGGGCGCUCUCCGUCCGCUUCUUCACUGGCGGCUCCGUGCCCCUCCGCAUCUUCUGCUCUCAUAUCCUUUCUUGUUUCCUUGAACUUAUUCACUGCUUAGUCAGAAACUCAUGUCUUCCGGCGAAGACAACAUGGCGGCGAUAGAGUGGAAGUGAUAGCAACAGAGAUCAGAACAUACCUGAGGCCCAAGCUAUGGAUGAAGACAGACCCGAGACCCACGAUGGAAGGCCCAAGAGAAGUACCAAGCGACUUGAGUAUCUGGACAAUUACGCAUAACAGUUAUUGGGGAAGAAUUAAGGGAGUUAUUUACAACUGUUUUUCCAUUUCAGAAUUCUGUUAGAAAAGCUGCUAGGAACUCGUUAUUGCAAUCAUGCUUUGUAAAUUUUAUUACACAGAAUCACCCCACGAAAUGUAUUUAAAUAAGAUUGCAAUGAAUUAAAUGGUAAGAAGAAUUCCAGCUCAUCACCUUUAGUGUAGAACGGAGGUUCCCUUGCCCUCGAAAUGAAGGACCAUUGUCCUCUGCUUGUAUCAGGAAGCCAUCAGAGCUGAAGCCCAAUGUUUCGCUGUCUAGCGUUAAGGUUAUUGAUAAGUCAUUUGGUUUUGACACUGCUGUUGAAGAGGCACAAGGAGCCAUAAACUUUGCUCAUGUGGAAGCAGAAAGCACUGAGAAUGGUAUCGAUAUUGUCAAGCUUAUGGGUCGUUACAGUGGUGUUGGUUUUGUGACAUAUGUUUGGUAGUGAAAUUUAAAUAUUUGCAUGGAAGCCUAAGAAUGUAUUAGAUCCGGGCAUACAAUGAUAGAGGCAGAAUCCCCAUCAUUUUACCUGGUGGCAAUGAGGAGUAAAGCUCUAAACUUGGUUCAUGUCCUUGAUAGUGCUGCUGCUGCUACUACAACUGCACCUGUUGUUGUCUCACCUAUGAGACUUUGGAUUCAUGUCCUUCAUGUCCUUCUCUAACAAUACAAAUUUAAGUUGUACGAGGGAAGAGGCUCUGGAUUUCGGUGCCUUGAGCGUUUCUAAUGGAGGGAAGUAGUUACUUGAUAACAUAUUAUGCAUUAAUAUGAGUGGGUUGACUGGACCUAUUCAAUUUGGUUUAGAUAGAUCUCCUCUAAAUCCAUCAUAUGACAUUCUUAAUGUAAUUGCUACAGGUUAUAGGAGAAUCGGCUACUGGUCUAGUUCUCUGACCUUUCUGUAAUAAACCCUGAGAAACUUCAUGCAGAGCCUGCCAAUUGUUUAAUUUCAAGCCAACAUCUAAACUGUGUCAUAUGGCCAGGAAAUACAACAGAAAAGCCUCAUGGAUGGGUUUUCCCAAAUAACGGGAGGUAACUGAGAAUUGGAAUUCCCAACAGAGUUAGCUAUUAAGAUAUGAUCUCCCAAAUAAAUGGCACCAAUGCAAUUCAAGGAUAUUGCAUAGAUAUAUUCCUAGCUGCCUUUAAAUUGCUUCCCUAUGCAGUUCAAUACAAGUUCAUUCUGUUUGGAGAUGGAGACAAGAACCCAAGCUACUGUGAUCUUGUCAACAUGAUUACUUCUGAUGUUUUUGAUGCUGCCGUAGGUGACAUUGCGAUUGUCUCUGUCUGAACAAAGAUUGUGGAUUUUAGUCGACCAUAUAUAGAGUCGGGGCUAGUUGUGGUUGCUCUAGUAAAAAAAAUUGAAGUCAAAUGCUUGGGCUUUCUUGUGACCAUUUACUCCACAUAUGUGGGGUGUCACUGCAUUUUUUUUCCUCUUUGUUGGAGCAGUGGUGUGGAUUCUUGAACAUAGAACAAACGAUGAGUUUCGAGGGUCACCGAGGGAACAUAUAGUUACAGUUCUUUGUGAGCGCAACCAUGAGAGCAAACAGUCAAUAGAAGCUGUAGAACUGCAUUACAGCACAAUUUGUCCAAUCUGACCAUCAUUUUGACUGUGAAAAGCAUCGUUCCAGUCACAACGGCCAGGUGGGAUAUGAUGAUGCUUGGAGGAGAAGUAGGGUGCCAUGUGUGAUGCUCGGGCACAAUAGCACCAAUAUUGCGCACAAUUAACUACCAUGCUAGGGUGGACUUGGGUACAUCUGAUUAUUUUGCAAUUGAUGUGCUCCUCAACUGCCUAACUGUCCUGAGCUCGGAUUCCCAUUUUUGCAUUUAGGUGAUAAAGAAUUUAUUCAUUUGAGUUGCACAGCUUUACCAGUACCAACAGUCCAACACCAUCAGGCCCUACUAACCUGGAAGUUCUUUACCAUGGUUACUGAUGGAACCAAAAAGCCUCAAGUUUCAGUACCUACACCACCACCACCUUGGAAAAUCAAUUUGCAGAAAUAUGCUGAAUCCUGUGCUCUCAAACUCCAUAGUCUUCAAUCUAUCAUAGAAAAUAGAGUAAACAGUGAUUAUAGGUCUCAAAAGAACAAGAGAAGGACAACUGUGUUUGAUAACCAAAUUGCAAGAAAAGGGUGCAGAAGAAAGAGGCAGAAACUGGGAAUAAUUGAUAAAGCCCUUGCCAAAUCAGGUUUGGAGGAGAAUCACCAAAAGAAGCUUCCUCGGUGUGUUCAUCGGAGAUAUGAACUAAAGAAAAACCCAGAGAAUGGUUUUUGCUAUGACCAAGCUUUGGGGUUACCACCUUCCUUUGUGUCUACAAGGAAGGGGUAAAGGUUCGAGGGCGCUCUUGAAAAAGGCUCAAACAAGAGGUGCUUGUACAUGAUGCAAGCUAUUAUACUGCCCUCCAAUUGGAGGGUCCAGAGGCUCUCCUGUAUACAGGAUUCAUUAAUGUCUGUAUUAAGAAUGGUGCUGGAACCCUAUCCGGCAACAACACCACAUCCUGGAAAUCAUGAUGACUCUGUUCUUUACAGUGUAACCUAUGGAAGAGCAAUGCUGCAUCAAUGUGGAGCACCAGUUUCUCAGCCAAUUGCUCCUGUAACCUACAUGUAGCAACCAAGUUCCCAACAAAAUAUGAGUACAGAGCUAGAUGGAAGAAAUCGUUGUACUUAGUUUGGACAACAUGACAUUGGUAAUGAUUCAAACAAACAUGGUGUGGAGUUAAGUGAAAAAUCAGGCAAAAUGAAGCACAGUUCUUCAUUUAGACGCCUAUGGGUGUGGAUAAAUUCUUCUGACUUUGAAGAAGGAUACGAGAAUCUACAAAUUUCCUGCCAGAAAGAGAUGGAGAAGAGGGUCAUCUCAAUUAAUUGCUUUUCCCUUGAGGGUCAACUUGCAAAAUUAGAAUUAAUUGGAUUAGGGACAUUUCAACUUCUUCAAAAAGUAUUGCAUGCUGUUGGAAGAGAACUAUUGGCAAUUGAAGAAACAUGUGCCAGAAAUUCAUCCAUACUGAGAAAUGAGGAUUAUUUUUCUUCAUGUGCUAUGCUAUCUCUUAAUGUCAAGGAUCCUCGAGAAUUGCCAUGGAAGAAGACUGUUGUUCCAGUGGAGUCCAUUUCAACUAAGACUCCGACUGAUGCACAAGAAAAGAAAUACAAAGAGCUUGCUGAAUUGGGAGGAAUAUUGGAAGAGAAUAGAGAUUUAUCUUCAUUAUCAAGGUCUUAACUUGUAGACAACCAGUUUGAUAUUGAUGGAUGUAUGGUAUGCUACCACCAGAGGGUUGAGGCCUCCAGUGGAAGACAGUUUUCUUUCUAAGGAGAAACACCAUGAACGUAUGGUUAAUUUCUGCCUUGAUGAUAUACAUUCUGGAGAGGCCAACUCUUCAACUAAGGUGCAGUGCUCGAGAUCUUGCCCUAUUCUUCUUUUAUAAAAUGAUAUGAAGGAAUUGAUUAUAGGGUAACUUCUUUAAUCUAUUUUUCCUUUUAAUUUGUUUGAAAUUACUGAUGGUGAUGAACUCUAUCUAUUAGUAUUGCUUAGCUUGUAUUCUUGAAAACAAAUGAUAGGUAUUUGUGAUGACCUGCUUAAGAUAUACAAGAACAAUAAUAAUCAUAAUUUAUGUUUUAAUUCCCUGCUUACAUUGAACAUGAUUCCUUGCAAUGCAUGAAGCCAUGAAGUAUUUAUGUCAAAA